GGAUUAGAUACCCUGGUAGUCCACGCCGUAAACGUUGGGCGCUAGAUGUGGGGACCAUUCCACGGUUUCCGUGUCGCAGCUAACGCAUUAAGCGCCCCGCCUGGGGAGUACGGCCGCAAGGCUAAAACUCAAAGGAAUUGACGGGGGCCCGCACAAGCGGCGGAGCAUGCGGAUUAAUUCGAUGCAACGCGAAGAACCUUACCAAGGCUUGACAUAUACGAGAACGCUCUAGAAAUAGAGAACUCUUUGGACACUCGUAUACAGGUGGUGCAUGGUUGUCGUCAGCUCGUGCCG
rnacentral:rRNA from 1 species